AUUGAACGCUGGCGGCAGGCCUAACACAUGCAAGUCGAGCGGAUGAAGGGAGCUUGCUCCUGGAUUCAGCGGCGGACGGGUGAGUAAUGCCUAGGAAUCUGCCUGGUAGUGGGGGAUAACGUCCGGAAACGGGCGCUAAUACCGCAUACGUCCUGAGGGAGAAAGUGGGGGAUCUUCGGACCUCACGCUAUCAGAUGAGCCUAGGUCGGAUUAGCUAGUUGGUGGGGUAAAGGCCUACCAAGGCGACGAUCCGUAACUGGUCUGAGAGGAUGAUCAGUCACACUGGAACUGAGACACGGUCCAGACUCCUACGGGAGGCAGCAGUGGGGAAUAUUGGGCAAUGGGCGAAAGCCUGAUCCAGCCAUGCCGCGUGUGUGAAGAAGGUCUUCGGAUUGUAAAGCACUUUAAGUUGGGAGGAAGGGCAGUAAGUUAAUACCUUACUGUUUUGACGUUACCAACAGAAUAAGCACCGGCUAACUUCGUG
rnacentral:rRNA from 1 species